rnacentral:misc_RNA from 1 species
UUUUUUUUUUUUUCUUUUUUCUCCUUAGGCAGUGUCACAAAUACGAGUGAAGCACUUGGAUCCUUUUAAUCUAUCUUUUGAACUUUUAUUCUAUAUUUUAGUUUGUGUUACAUGUUUGGUCAUCAUCAUGCUUUCUUUUUGGUCAAAUACAUAAUGCUGAAAAGAGGGCAAAGCACUUGUGCUGACAUUACCUUUUUUUUUGGCAGGAAAUUUCAAUAGCAGGAGAAA